rnacentral:rRNA from 1 species
UGAGCAAUCUGCCCUUCACAUCGGAAUAACCAUUGGAAACGAUGGCUAAUACCGAAUAUGACUUCGGAUCGCAUGAUCUGAAGUGGAAAGCUCCGGCGGUGAAGGAUGAGCUCGCGGCCUAUCAGCUUGUUGGUGAGGUAAUGCUCACCAAGGCGAUGGACGGGUAGCCGGCUGGAGGAGGGUCGACCCGGCCACACGUGGGACUGGAACGACCGACCCGGNACGUACCG